CUGUGAUAAAGUGUGCUAUCUCUUUAUCAACACUGUAGCCUAGCUUAAGUUUUGCGUUGUCCCACACUGUCGUUAGACGAACGAACGAACUUCAUUUUAUUUUAAUUUGCAACCGCCCGACUUAGCCUUUAGUUUACCAAAAUGCAAGUAGAAUCUUCCAAAUAUCAUCUCAGGAGAAUUUGCGUGGAUAUAUGCAACAUGACAGAGUCCUGGCUGUAUUAUAUAAGAAGUGGUCGCGCUGCCAUGAACAAUUUUUCGCGCCUACGGCUGCACAUUUUUGAGUCCGAGAAUCGUUUAAACCAUCUAACAACUGAGCGGGCCCUUAGAGCGGCGGACAAACAGAUUCGCAUGCUGUACGACCGUCUAACCAGUCCGAUCGCUAUGAUGAAACGAAUUCUGGAACAACUGCGCAUUACCCGGGACAAGACCUGUCAAUUUUUGAGCUGCACGCGCAUGUAUAUGGACGAUGAAAUCCUUUCGGAGUUUCAGAUAACCCCAACUCUGAGGACGCCGCAGGUGCUGGAGAUUCUCGAGUUCCUGCGCUCGCGCUUCGAUGCAGAGUGGGAGGUCAAAGAGAUGGUAGUCAUGGCUUUGGAGGACAUGGACACCGCCCACGAAAUGGAACUGCUGGUGAAGGCCUGGGACGACUGCAGCCAUGCGGGCGGCGAAGAGUUCACCGAAAAGUUGAACGCAUACUUUCACACAGUGGGUGGCGGUCGUCUACGUGCGCAAAAUGCUCAAUAGCGGAGCCUAAGCUAUUUUGUUUAACAGAAGCAUACAGCCAAACUGAGAGAUAAAUUACAAUUAAUACAGCUUGCGACUCCUUUAAUUGUGCACCUCGAAAAUCAGGCCAAGAGCCGUACCAGCGAUGCUAACACUUCCAGAACGUUCCUGAAAUUUCUAAGGACCGCAUGCUGCGUAGGAUAUAGCGAAUGACCAAAAUGCUAUCCCCCCACAGCAAAAUAAACACCACAACCCACUUCAGACUUUACCUUGGCGUAGAAACGAGAAACGAAUGCACAUUUUGAAUGUUUUUGAAUUUGAUGUUAGUUUUUAUUUGAAAAAUGUUCUUGUUUUAGUUUGUUUUGUAUUUGGUAUCGCC